rnacentral:misc_RNA from 1 species
GAUGAAGAACGUAGUGAAAUGCGAUAAUUAAUGUGAAUUGCAGAAUUCAGUGAAUCAUCGAGUCUUUGAACGCACAUUGCGCCCCCUGGUAUUCCGGGGGGCAUGCCUGUCCGAGCGUCAUUGCUGCCCUCAAGCACGGCUUGUGUGUUGGGCUUCCGUCCCUGGCAACGGGGACGGGCCCAAAAGGCAGUGGCGGCACCAUGUCUGGUCCUCGAGCGUAUGGGGCUUUGUCAUCCGCUCCCGUAGGUCCAGCUGGCAGCUAGCCUCGCAACCAAUCUUUUUAACCAGGUUGACCUCGGAUCAGGUAGGGAUACCCGCUGAACUUAAGCAUAUCAAUAAGCGGAGGA